rnacentral:tRNA from 1 species
CAGGGAGACAACAAAAUGUUUAAUAUUAUUUUGUCACCUUAGGUCGAUCGGUAUCUCACUUUCUUAAUUUAUUAAGAAUUUCAUUUCCUAAGUUUUUCUAGGUCACACCCAUUAUUUUUCCUGGGCCAUUAGCUCAGGUGGUUAGAGCGCACCCCUGAUAAGGGUGAGGUCCCUGGUUCAAGUCCAGGAUGGCCCAUAUCUCUAUGUUGGGGGUAUAGCUCAGUUGGUAGAGCGCCUGCUUUGCAAGCAGGAUGUCAGCGGUUCGAGUCCGCUUACCUCCACUGGAUUCCACCUCUGCCAUAAAGCGUAAAAGGGAAAUUUGUUGAGUUGUGACCAAAUUCUGAACGAAUCUAGCUUCCUAAUAUAAUCAUUAAGAUGCUGGACUCAUUGAAUUAAUUUCAUUGUUUUCAGAGAACCUUGACAACUGCAUAGAUUAUUUUAAAGACAAUAAGCAUCUUUAAUGAUGCAGAUUUAUUAUUUGUGCGAAUGCAUUAAUAACAAUUCUAUUAAGCUGAUGCUUCAA